UACAGAGGGGGCAAGCGUUGUUCGGAAUUAUUGGGCGUAAAGGGCUCGUAGGCGGUCUGUUGCGUCGGGAGUGAAAACUCAGGGCUUAACCCUGAGCCUGCUUCCGAUACGGGCAGACUAGAGGUAUGCAGGGGAGAACGGAAUUCCUGGUGUAGCGGUGAAAUGCGCAGAUAUCAGGAGGAACACCGGUGGCGAAGGCGGUUCUCUGGGCAUUACCUGACGCUGAGGAGCGAAAGUGUGGGGAGCGAACAGG
rnacentral:rRNA from 1 species